ACCCGCUGAACUUAAGCAUAUCAAUAAGCGGAGGAAAAGAAACUAACAAGGAUUCCCCUAGUAACUGCGAGUGAAGAGGGAAAAGCUCAAAUUUAAAAUCUGGCAGUCUUUGAUUGUCCGAGUUGUAAUUUAGAGAAGUGUUACCCGUGUUGGACCGUGUACAAGUUUCCUGGAAUGGAACGUCAUAGAGGGUGAGAAUCCCGUCUUUGACACGGAUCCCAAUGCAUUGUGGUGCACUCUCGAAGAGUCGAGUUGUUUGGGAAUGCAGCUCUAAAUGGGUGGUAAAUUCCAUCUAAAGCUAAAUAUUGGGGAGAGACCGAUAGCGAACAAGUACCGUGAGGGAAAGAUGAAAAGAACUUUGGAAAGAGAGUUAAACAGUACGUGAAAUUGCUAAAAGGGAAACGCUUGAAGUCAGUCGCGUUAGCCGGGGAUCAGCCUUCCUUUUGGUUGGUGUACUUCCUGGUUGAUGGGUCAGCAUCAGUUUUGAUCGGUGGAUAAAGGUGAGAGGAAUGUGGCAUCUUCGGGUGUGUUAUAGCCUCUUAUUGUAUACAUCGGUUGGGACUGAGGAACUCAGCACGCCGCAAGGCCGGGUUUUUAACCACGUUCGUGCUUAGGAUGCUGGCAUUAAUGGCUUUAAUCGACCCGUCUUGAAACACGG
rnacentral:rRNA from 1 species